CCUCAAAUAGGUAGGAUUACCCGCUGAACUUAAGCAUAUCAAUAAGCGGAGGAAAAGAAAAUAACAAUGAUUCCCUUAGUAACGGCGAGCGAAGAGGGAAUAGCUCAAAUUUUAAAUCUGUUAGGUUCUACCUAACCGAAUUGUAAUUUGAAGAAGCGUUUUCCGCGUUUUCGAAUUGGCCCAAAUCCUUUGGAAUAAGGUAUCAUGGAGGGUGAGAAUCCCGUCUGGCCAAAUCGAGUUCGCAUUAUGAUACGCUUUCUAAGAGUCGAGUUGUUUGGGAUUGCAGCUCAAAAUGGGAGGUAAAUUUCUCCUAAGGCUAAAUAACGGCGAGAGACCGAUAGCGAACAAGUACCGUGAGGGAAAGAUGAAAAGAAUUUUGAAAAGAAAGUCAAACAGUACGUGAAAUUGUUGAAAGGGAAACGAUUGAAGUCAGUCGUACAGACGGGGAAUCAGCUCUUUGAGCGUGAAUUCGUGGGAUUCAAAAAGAUUUUGUUUUUUGCGACAUUUGCGUUUUUUGGGUGUACUUUCCCGUAUUGUAGGUUAGCAUCGGUUUCGAUGGUUACAAAAUGAUCGGAGGAAUGUAGCUUCGACUUCGGUUGAAGUGUUAUAGCCUUUGGUAGAUGUAACGGUUGGGACCGAGGAUUGCAAUGAAUACCCUAACGGGCUAUCCGUCUGGUCUCUGAUUAGUGACUCUGGCAUUGAAAGCGUGCUUACGAUGUUAGAGUGUGCGGUCAAAAGGUUAGAACGGAAUAAAUUUGUUAAGGAUGCUGACGUAAUGACUUUAAACGACCCGUCUUGAAACACGGACCAAGGAGUCUAACAUAGUAUUGGGGAUCC
rnacentral:rRNA from 1 species